UGUUAAAAAUUUCAUCAAUUGUACUAUUAAGAACUGGCGUCGUGGACGAAAUAAUCAGACAGUGACACGUGGUGUGCUAUGUAUACCACAUGCUGAUGUACAAAGACUAGUUUUUAAUAAUAAGAAUGGAUAAAAAUUUUAACA
rfam:Gossypium hirsutum cultivar TM-1 chromosome 9, whole genome shotgun sequence